GUGGCUGAUGGGGGGUGGACAGAGUGCUUCUCCACAGGGAGUCUGGUGCCCAAACUUCCCUCCGGCCCCCUGCUGGCCUAGCCUCACUCCUGGGGGGGCGGGGAUUGUCCUCCUCCAACACACUGGGUUCUCAGGCCUGGGGGUCUCCUUCCUCAGGGACACUCACUCAGCUGUAGGCGGGGUUCUGUGGUUACCUGGUUACCAUCUGUCUCCCCUGGGGGACGGUGGGCCCCAUGGCGAAGGAACCCUGUCACUGAGCGAACGCUCUACAGAAAAGCUUCAAGUUUCGGGAGUAUUCUCAACCGGUCCUGAGUCAACUGCUCUCCAUCAACCUUAAUCCUUGGACCUUCUUCCUCGGCUGGUGGAAUCCAGGAUAAAGUGGGAUAAAUCCAGGAUAAAGCAGGACGUGGCAGAGAGGCCGGCCCGAGGCCAGGACCAGAACAAGACGGUGUGUAAGUCAGAGGAGAAGGAAUCCCGAAGCAAAGCAUACCUUCGCCGCUUCCGUCGCAUGUAUUCUGCUUCUCUCGCCAACACGGACUUCUCCAGGAGAACCCCACACGCUGAGCAUGCCUCACCCCAGGCCACCACGGGGAUGUUUCCCAUGAAGCGGUUUAACAGACGGCCCCGCCCGCCCGACUGGAAGAAUCCUGCAGAUUUCUUGCAGCAAAGGAGAUUAACCUUCCAGAACACACAAGGGAUGAGCCUGCUCCUUCUAGGAUGGCCACAGUACCUCUGACUUUGGAACAAGCAAUUCAGACUCACCACGUUGUGGAGGCCAGGACAGCAAGGCGAUAUUGGACCAACUACGUGGACCAGGAAUGAGACCGUAGCAUCACCUUGAUGAAAAGGACGAAGAAAUGUUGAAACUCCCAAAGAAGCAAUUAAAUGGCAGAUUUCUUCUUCUU